AUGCAAACUAGAUCACUGGCUCUGCAUGGUGUUGCAGAAGCAAGGGGAACACGUUUGCUAUAUAAAUUGAUGUAGAAAAAGAAAGUUGCAUUAGAGUCCCGUUUCUUUUGCUACCUUUUUUUCUACAAAACAGUC